rnacentral:rRNA from 1 species
AAGACAGCCCUAUGGGUCGUAAACUGCUUUUGUACGGGAAAAAACCUCGGGUUUCGCAUCCGAGCUGAUGGUACCGUAAGAAUAAGGAUCGGCUAACUCCGUGC